rnacentral:rRNA from 1 species
GCUUAACACAUGCAAGUCGAGCGGGCGCAGCAAUGCGUCAGCGGCAGACGGGUGAGUAACGCGUGGGAACGUACCUUUUGGUUCGGAACAACACAGGGAAACUUGUGCUAAUACCGUAUACGUCCGAGAGGAGAAAGAUUUAUCGCUAUGAGACGGGCCCGCGUCCGAUUAGCUUGUUGGUGGGGUAACGGCCUACCAAGGCAACGAUCGGUAGCUGAUCUGAGAGGAUGAUCAGCCACACUGGGACUGAGACACGGCCCAGACUCCUACGGGAGGCAGCAGUGGGGAAUCUUGGACAAUGGGCGAAAGCCUGAUCCAGCCAUGCCGCGUGAGUGAUGAAGGCCCUAGGGUUGUAAAGCUCUUUUGUGCGGGAAGAUAAUGACGGUACCGCAAGAAUAAGCCCCGGCUAACUUCGUGCCAGCAGCCGCGGUAAUAC